ACAUGAAGAGCAAGCCAAAUUUUGUUGAUGAUAUAAGUAGAUACUUCUAGGCUUUGUUUUUUAUUAAAGCCUAAAAAUGUCUACUAGUAUUAUUGGUAAAAC
rnacentral:pre_miRNA from 1 species